rnacentral:ncRNA from 1 species
GAUUAAGCCAUGCAUGUCUAAGUACAAACCUUCAAACGGUGAAACCGCGAAUGGCUCAUUAAAUCAGCUAUGGUUCCUUGGAUCGUACAUACUACAUGGAUAACUGUAGUAAUUCUAGAGCUAAUACAUGCCACUAUGCCCUGACCCGCAAGGGAACGGGUGGAUUUAUUAGAACAGAACCAACCGGCGGUGACUUCGGUUGCCGUCGUUGCAUUCUGUGAUGACUCUGGAUAACUUUACUGAUCGCAGUCGGCCUUGUGUCGGCGACGGAUCUUUCAAAUGUCUGCCCUAUCAAUUUUCGAUGGUAGGUGACCUGCCUACCAUGGUGAUAACGGGUAACGGGGAAUCAGGGUUCGAUCCCGGAGAUAUUUGAUGACGAAACACGCAAGGCUC